rnacentral:rRNA from 1 species
CGCCUGUUUAUCAAAAACAUCUUUUCUUGUUAGUUUUUGAAGUAUGGCCUGCCCGCUGACUUUGGUGUUGAAGGGCCGCGGUAUUUUGACCGUGCAAAGGUAGCAUAGUCAUUAGUUCUUUAAUUGUGAUCUGGUAUGAAUGGCUUGACGAGGCAUGGGCUGUCUUAAUUUUGAAUUGUUUNUUGAAUUUGGUCUUUGAGUUAAAAUUCUUAGAUGUUUUUAUGGGACGAGAAGACCCUAUAGAGUUUGACAUUUAUUAUGGUCUCUUUCUUGUUUGUGAGGGUUCACUGGGCCAUUUAAUGUGUUUUGUUGGGGUGAUGGGAGGGAUAUAAUUUAACCCCUCCUUUGUNUUGUUAUAUUUAUUUAUAUUUGUUUGAUCCAUUUAUUUUGAUUGUAAGAUUAAAUUACCUUAGGGAUAACAGCGUAA